CGAAAGAUUGACCCAGUUACUUAUUAGGAUGAUAUAUAUUUAAUAAAAUAAAUAAUAAAAAAAAUAAAAAUUAUAUAAAUUGAUUAAAAAUAAAAUCCAUAAAUAGUGAAAAUAAUGAUAUAAACUACCAUAAUAAAAAUUAUGGAUAUAAUAUUAAUAUUAUAUUUUAAUAGUCCUAACCAAAAUUUGUGCCAGCAGCUGCGGUAAGACAAUGGGGGCUAGCGUUAAUCAUAAUGGCUUAAAGGGUCCGUAGAAUGAAUAAUAAAAAAGUUAUUUAGAGUUAAUAAAUUUAAUUAAAGAAUUAUAAUAGUAAGGAUGAAAUGAUAAUGAUCAUUAUAAGACUGGUAUAUGUGAAGGUAUUAAUUAAAUAUUAACUGACAUUGAGGGACGAAAGCUAAAGUAGCAAUACGGAUUCGAUACCCGAGUAGUUUUAGCUGUAAACAAUGAACACCAUUUAUAAAAAAUAAAUUAUAAAUAAAUGAAAAUGAAAGUGUUCCGCCUGAAGAGUACGUUCGCAAGAAUGAAACUCAAGACAAUAGACGGUUACAGACUUAAGCAGUGGAGCAU
rnacentral:rRNA from 1 species